AUGCGAAUUGAUGAAAAGGCAGCAGCAGUGGCCAGGAAGCGUGAUCUGGAAGGUAAUAACAACUCGAACAAUACUUUUGAUGUUCUUUCUGAUCCGGAGUUGAUUUUGCGUGCUGUUAAAAUGGGUGUCAAUGUUCCUGACACAGAUUUUGCGAGCGUAGAUAUCCUCUGUGAGCUUGAAAAAACUAGAGCUAACCUCCAGAAAAUUAAUACUGAGAGUGUUCACGACGAUAACAAUAGUCAAACUCUCUUCCUAACUAAUGCCAAGGGGGAUAAGACUCCGCUAAAUAUGGAAUGGGGGGAUGAGCGUGAAUCUGAAUCUGAUACUAAUCAAUACACUCUGGUGAGAUCUAGAAAGAAAAGAGCGCGGAAACCUAUGGUGAAUAUCAAUAGACCUGUUACUAGAAGUCAAAAAAAUAAGGAUAUGCCUUUGAAUAAGGUUGGGGAGAAAAAAUGCUAUGGUGAUUAA
rnacentral:rRNA from 1 species